rnacentral:piRNA from 1 species
UAGGUAGGUCACCUCGGUGCGGCAUAG